ACCUUGAAAUACCACCCUUUAAUGGCUGGUGUUCUAACGUGGGCCCGUGAACCGGGUUGCGGACAGUGUCUGGUGGGUAGUUUGACUGGGGCGGUCUCCUCCUAAAGAGUAACGGAGGAGCACGAAGGUUGGCUAAUCCUGGUCGGACAUCAGGAGGUUAGUGCAAUGGCAUAAGCCAGCUUGACUGCGAGCGUGACGGCGCGAGCAGGUGCGAAAGCAGGUCAUAGUGAUCCGGUGGUUCUGAAUGGAAGGGCCAUCGCUCAACGGAUAAAAGGUACUCCGGGGAUAACAGGCUGAUACCGCCCAAGAGUUCAUAUCGACGGCGGUGUUUGGCACCUCGAUGUCGGCUCAUCACAUCCUGGGGCUGAAGUAGGUCCCAAGGGUAUGGCUGUUCGCCAUUUAAAGUGGUACGCGAGCUGGGUUUAGAACGUCGUGAGACAGUUCGGUCCCUAUCUGCCGUGGGCGCUGGAAGAUUGAGGGGGGCUGCUCCUAGUACGAGAGGACCGGAGUGGACGCAUCACUGGUGUUCGGGUUGUCAUGCCAAUGGCACUGCCCGGUAGCUACAUGCGGAAGAGAUAAGUGCUGAAAGCAUCUAAGCACGAAACUUGCCCCGAGAUGAAUCUUCCCUGAGCCUUUAAGGCUCCUGAAGGAACGUUGAAGACGACGACGUUGAUAGGCCGGGUGUGUAAGCGCAGCGAUGCGUUGAGCUAACCGGUACUAAUGAACCGUGAGGCUUAACCUUACAACGCCGAAG
rnacentral:rRNA from 2 species